CACAAAAUGAUGAAAGGGAGAUUGAAAGAAAGCAAAAGAAAGAUAACAGGAGAGAGAAAAAACAGCAUGAAACUUUGGUCGGCUGGCAGUAGCAUUCCUUCAGACUGUUUGUCGCUGCGACUGGCAAUAAUUACAGACAGAAAUGUGAGGAUACCUGAAGCAAGGAAUGGAUCUCUCUCCGCAAUUUCUGAAAAGAUCACCUCCACCUCACCGUCCUCAGGGAAUCUUGGAUCUUGAAUGGAGACAAAAGCAAAUGAUGACUGAAAGGAUUGAAAGGGAUGGAAAAAACUACGCCACACAGCAAUGUGGGAACAUCAACACACAUGAGUUCAAUGAUAGUUGAUGUAUAUGUGACUCGUAAGCAUACUUGCCACAACCAUGUGACUGUUUUCGCUUCUGUCCAUCCACAUUACAGAUGUCUUGAUUGUGUAAGGUUUCCCAUUGAGUAAGGACCGGAAUUACAGAAGUGUUUGUGUAAAGAGUUAAGCUGUCUGACUCUUUCUCAGAUCUGCUUGGGCCACCAUA